ensembl:lncRNA
AAUGGGCUGUGAGUGUACCCCAAUGGGCUGUGGGUGUACCCCAAUGAGCUGUGGGUGUACCUCUAUUAGCUAUGGGGUGCACCCCUAUUGGCUGUGAGUGCACCCCAAUGGGCUGUGCAGUGUACCCCAAUGGGCUGUGGGUGUACCCCAAUGGGCUGUGAGUGCACCCUAAUGGGCUGUAAGGUGUACCCCAAUGAGCUGCGGGGUGUACCUCUAUUAGUGGGGUGUACCCCAAUGAGCUGCAGGCUGUACCCUGGUUAGUUGUCAGGGUGUACCCCAUUUAGCCGUGGGUUGCACCCCAGUUAGCUCCCCGUUGUACCCCAAUGAGCUGCAGGCUGUACCCGUUAGCUGUAAGGUGUACCCCAAUGAGCUGCGGGGUGUACUUUUAUUAGCUGUGGGGCGUACCCCAAUGAGCUGCGGGGUGUACCCCAAUGAGC